rnacentral:rRNA from 1 species
UACGUAGGUGGCGAGCGUUGUCCGGAUUUACUGGGCGUAAAGGGAGCGUAGGCGGAUUUUUAAGUGAGAUGCGAAAUACUCGGGCUCAACUUGAGUGCUGCAUUUCAAACUGGAAGUCUAGAGUGCAGGAGAGGAGAAUGGAAUUCCUAGUGUAGCGGUGAAAUGCGUAGAGAUUAGGAAGAACACCAGUGGCGAAGGCGAUUCUCUGGACUGUAACUGACGCUGAGGCUCGAAAGCGUGGGGAGCAAACAGG